AUUGAACGCUGGCGGCAGGCCUAACACAUGCAAGUCGAGCGGCAGCACAGAGAAACUUGUUUCUCGGGUGGCGAGCGGCGGACGGGUGAGUAAUGCCUGGGAAAUUGCCCUGAUGUGGGGGAUAACCAUUGGAAACGAUGGCUAAUACCGCAUGAUGCCUACGGGCCAAAGAGGGGGACCUUCGGGCCUCUCGCGUCAGGAUAUGCCCAGGUGGGAUUAGCUAGUUGGUGAGGUAAGGGCUCACCAAGGCGACGAUCCCUAGCUGGUCUGAGAGGAUGAUCAGCCACACUGGAACUGAGACACGGUCCAGACUCCUACGGGAGGCAGCAGUGGGGAAUAUUGCACAAUGGGCGCAAGCCUGAUGCAGCCAUGCCGCGUGUGUGAAGAAGGCCUUCGGGUUGUAAAGCACUUUCAGUUGUGAGGAAGGUGGUGUCGUUAAUAGCGGCAUCAUUUGACGUUAGCAACAGAAGAAGCACCGGCUAACUCCGUGCCAGCAGCCGCGGUAAUACGGAGGGUGCGAGCGUUAAUCGGAAUUACUGGGCGUAAAGCGCAUGCAGGUGGUUUGUUAAGUCAGAUGUGAAAGCCCGGGGCUCAACCUCGGAACUGCAUUUGAAACUGGCAGACUAGAGUACUGUAGAGGGGGGUAGAAUUUCAGGUGUAGCGGUGAAAUGCGUAGAGAUCUGAAGGAAUACCGGUGGCGAAGGCGGCCCCCUGGACAGAUACUGACACUCAGAUGCGAAAGCGUGGGGAGCAAACAGG
rnacentral:rRNA from 1 species